rnacentral:misc_RNA from 1 species
UGUGGGAGCUGGCUUGCCUGCGAUGACGUGGUGCCAGCUUGCAUCAAUGUGGCCGGUCGACCGCUAUCGCAGGCAAGCCAGCUCCCACA